CGGGUGGCUGCAGCAGUGAGGAAUAUUGCACAAUGGGGGGAACCCUGAUGCAGCAACGCCGCGUGGAGGAUGACGCAUUUCGGUGUGUAAACUCCUUUUAUAUGUCAAGAAAAUGACAGUAGCAUAUGAAUAAGCACCGGCUAACCCCGUGCCAGCAGCCGCGGUAAUACGGAGGGUGCAAGCGUUACUCGGAAUCACUGGGCGUAAAGGACGCGUAGGCGGGUUGGAAAGUCAGGUGUGAAAUCCUACAGCUUAACUGUAGAACUGCACUUGAAACUUCUAAUCUAGAGUAUGGGAGGGGGAGAUGGAAUUAGUGGUGUAGGGGUAAAAUCCGUAGAUAUCACUAGGAAUACCUAAAGCGAAGGCGAUCUCCUGGAACAUUACUGACGCUAAGGCGUGAAAGCGUGGGGAGCAAACAGGAUUAGAUACCCGAGUAGUC
rnacentral:rRNA from 1 species